CCUCAUGCAGACUGCAAGAGCGGAUGGCGCACGACGACCGCCAACGCUCCAAGGCCGCCGCGUAAUGUGGCCGUCACGCGGCUGCCGCUCGGAGCCCCCGGCAGCAGGAAGAGCAGCGAACAGGCACCGCUCAGCAUCCUCCUCUCGAACGUCCACGAGUGUUGAUGCAACGUCCAGGAGCACCGCUGCCCCCCUGUUUGUGUACCUGUAGAGACGGCGCGCGCUGAAGGCCUCCUUUUCAUUCUGCCACUGGUGUUGUCGCCGUCUCUGCUUGUCUCUUCAAUCAACCCUUCGUCGUGUGUCAACAGUACUGGGAGCCGUUACUUGGCUCCAACUUUGGUGGUGUUUGUCAAAUGGUCUAAAACGAACUGACGCAGCACGGAAGCUCCACCUGCUUACUCGGCAGUGCACCAUGAAUGACCCCCUUUUAAGAAAUUCUCGGCUGAACUCCCUUGAUCCCACGUUAAGUCUUCGAGCGCCAUCACAGCUUCGCCGUGGAGACGCCACGCUUUUGCAUCGACUGUGGUUGUGCGUUGAUUUUACCAAAGCCUAUGCGUUCGGCAUAGGCAUGACCGACACCGCAACCUGUGACCACUGCGGACAUGAAGAAUCGAUUGACCAUAUUUUGUGAGCCUGCCCGCAAUACAGUCCACAGAGGGAAUGCAUUCGCCACGAACUUGACCAGAUGGACGACCAACCGCUAACGAAAAAAAGAAUUCUACACCAUGGAAAGGAGCUAACGUCACAGCAAAAGGCCGUGCAAGCGAUAUUGCGCUUUUUGCGAUCUACCGGCCUUUGUGGACGUCUUUAACUGGAACGCCUUUUGUGUGUGUGUUUCUCCGUGUGUGCGUGUUUUUUUUUUUUUUGCGGUUUCCUCUUUGUCAUCUUUCUAACCCCUAUCUCCCAUCCCCAGUGUAGGGUAGCAAACCGGAGACCGAUAUCUGGUUAACCUCCCUGCCUUUCCUAUUUCUCUCUCUCUCUCUCCCAGGGUGACACGCAUUCUAGCCUACAUGACCGAAAUAGGAUAGUAAUUGACUGGAUAACUAAAACCCUAUUUCUUAUUCUUCCUCAUGUAAAUUGGAUUUUGUAUCACUUUAUGUAUACCAAAAAAUAUGAUUCUGAUUCCAUUUCGAUUGCUGAUAUCUCUAAAGUCGAGAAAUUAGGAAAAAAUAGAGAACAGCGGCUUUGAACUCUUGCUUUUUGAAAACGGACAGGAAGGUAUGAUAUUAUUUUUGUGGUCCUUGGGCUAGCAUAAAACGCUCCUGUACACGGGAUAUCCUUGAAAUAAAGGACAAGUCUUAAUCUACAAAAGCAAUUUAUGGCCUAUGUCUUCUUUACACUUGAUGGCCUAUGUCACUUUACACUUUACGCUUGAUUGUUCAUUCGCAUGCACAAAUAUCCUGCUUGGCAAACAUUGUUUGGGUUACCGAAGAGCUACGGUUCUCAAAGACCAUGGCAACUAUUUCUUAAGUUAUACUUGCGCAACUCCAAUUCGCGCUAAGCGUGAGUAUUAUCUAAAAGCGAAUCCCACGUACAACUACGCAUUUGGGCAAACUUUGUUUCGUAUGCACUGCUUUGUCGAGGAAAAAAUUUGCAUUCGGUACCAUUUAUACCAAUUAUAUGAUGCCAUCAUUUGUGAAUUCUAUUUUUGGAAAUGAGCUAUGGUGCACAAAUUUUGAAUCAUUAAAAGCUAAAGACU